rnacentral:pre_miRNA from 1 species
AGAGGAAUAGCUGGGUCAAAUGGUGGUUCCAUUCCCAGAUUUCCAAGGAAUCUCCAUAUUUCUUUCCAAAUUGGCUGCACCAAUUUGUAGUCUCACGAGCAAU